rnacentral:misc_RNA from 1 species
UUUAUGAGUCUCUGGUGGUAUCAUAUUUAAUGUCAAAUGAAAUGCCUGGAGAAAGAAAAAACAUUAAACCAAUGCAUUAUUCCCUACUUUAACUGAUUUCAAUUUUGACGUCUGGUGCCGCCUCAUUGGGUUCCCAGAUAAGUUGCAUAGCUAUUCUAAGCAAAUUUAUCUGAAAAUGGAUUGCUAACCAAUUCAUUUCGAUCAAGUGCCCAGGUCCUUUUUAAAUGAUUUCAUGGGGGCAGGAGUUUGCAUACAUUGCAACUACAUUUCAAGCUUUAAUAUACUCAAGGCCAAUCAAACUAGAACAAACACAUACCACAAAUCUCUCCAAGACAGGAA